CUCAAACGUGAUCCUGGGUUGCACUGAUUGGCGCAUACAAGUCAACAUAAGUGAUAAAACUAUCACACAUCGAACUAAAAAAAUAAUAUGGAAGGAAUUCUUCACGUGGAAAUUAAAAAAGACAAUUUAAAUGAACUGUGUUUAUAUAUAUAUAUAUGUUUUUUCUGCAAGGCACUUCAAAAUUUUUUCUUGAAGCAUCAUUCGCUAAUGUUGCAAAGUUGGAGAAAAGGGUUAUCAAACUUUACAUAUCUAGACCAGAAAGGCUUGUAUUUGGAGAUAGCCAAAUCCAACCAAGGCUUGUAAUUUCCAUUGUAAUGAACUACAGCUGCAUUCUCAAUCUCCGUUUGGUUAAGGGCUGGAUCAUAACCAAGUCCCAGGACAUGCCAGGUACGAUCCAGUGGAAAGGUUAGAUUAUAGAAAGUGAUCAAUCCUGGUGGCAAUGUGCCCAAUUUCCAUAGAGUUCUAUCCUCAUUCAGAUCUUGCCAAUGAUGAUAUAUUCCAGUGAUAUUUUGCCUUCUCCACUCCUUCAAGUCAAACAUAUUCAUUCCAAAUGCCCAGCCACAAGCAUUUGGGCUGAAAUUCUCAUAGAUCUUUGGAUUAGAAAAAUUGAGAUACUUAUCAAACCUAUGAAAGCUCUCCUUACAAGUCUCCACUGCACCAUUUACCAUCCCCUUCAGAUCAACAGACCAAAGUGGCGUCAAAUCCUUCUGAACUACAAUAUCAUCAUCCAAAAAAAGGAUCUUAUCUAGCUUUGGGUAAACUUCAGGAAGGUAGAACCUAAGAUGAUUCAGCAUAGACAAAUAUUUUGGAUUCCUAUAUUUGAGAUUAUCAGAUCCAGCAGUGAGGGAGGAAGGAUGAUUUGCCUUAAAGUAGUAUUCCUUAAUCCUGGCAGAUUCAAGCUGACGUAGAACAGAACAAUAUGAGGCAUUCAACCACUUAAAAUCAUCAAUAUUCUGAACAUGGACGGUUACUUUUGCAGGGGGGUUGAUAAGAAACCACAUUUUCAUUGCAGCGAAGUUCAGUUUAUCUGUGACUAUAUGGAAAACAUGUUUUUCAGAAUCUAAUGCAUGGAGCACAGUAGAAUUAACCACUACAGAUGUUGCUAGUACAUUAUCUGAAAAGAUAGCAUAGUGAUACAGAGAAGGAUCCUCAAGCUUUUCUUUGUUUGGAUACUCUCUAUUUUGAUGACCAUGCAAGAAAUAGUCAGCUGCAAGGCGCAAAGGAAGACAAUGCAAUGGUUUUGGAAUUGUUUUUGCAGCCAGUUGAAUCAAGAAGGCACUCUUCUUCUUCAGAGCAUUUACAUUCUCUUCAUUUGACUGAAGCAUAGCUCGUAACUUCCGUAACAUAGUAGGACAUUCAUAUAAUCUAUCCUUUGCUAUAGAGAGCACAUGACCCAUAGCUUUUGCUCGAACAAGUGCACUAGGUUGAAGCUCAGCAUCUGAUGUAGCUUCUCCAAUGGCAUGUUGACUUUCUCUAGAGUGUUCCAUAAGUGAGUCAUAAAGGCCGGUUUCAUUAUCAGAUUUGGCUAUAUUUGCAUAUGCUUUGGCCAUAAUAAUCUGAUCCCGCAUUAGUUUCAACAUAGAAUCAGAAUUUGGAUUUUCGUAGUCUCUUCUCCAUAUACUGUACUUUCCCUUGACCGUGGUGUCCAUGCUUUCAGAUUGUUUUAUUGCAGCUGCUCGUGUCUGGUUGUCAGCUUCUUUAUCUUGCUGAAUUAACAAUGCAGUUCGGAGAUCCCUCCUUCUUUUCCUCAUUACCUGAAGUGCAAACAAUUGUCAUUACAACCAAAUUAAGUGCACCGAAUACAAAUCGUAAACACAAGGCGAUUGACAGUUCACCCGGCGCCGCAGCUUCACUGGGGUUGUUGCUAAAUUAGGAGGAUGGUGAUUCCCAGAAUUGUCGACAUCAUCUUGAUGUUUGGUAACAGAUUGAAAUGAGUCCUUUGAUGUCUGUGAGAAGGAAGUGCCAAGGAAAACUUCCUGUCAAGAUCAGUAACUUGGAAACUCAAGUGCCUUCAUCCAUGAACUAAAUCAAAAGUUUUAACAUUUUAUUUAUCUUUCAUCCAAUAAGGCUAUCAAAAUUAGUGGAAAAUGUUUUUCAAUAAAGUUGUUCUUUAUUUUGCUGUGAUUGUUUCUAUUGAAAACUCAACGCUAAAACCACUUGGUGUUACCAAGGAAGCCUUUGGCUGAUCAUGGCCUUUAUCUACGGGGUUUUGCAAAACCCAGGAAGCAGACAAGUCCUUCAUUUUCACCCUCCUAAUCUGAAUACUGCCAGAAGUUCCACUAUAUGCCGCAAUUAUGUCAAUAUCCUGAAUGAAAUGUGCAUAUAUAAGCAUCAAAAAAAUUAACUGAAAAGACAGAUGAUAUUGAUUACCUUUUCAUCCAGAGGAUUUCCAAGUCCAGCACCAGAAAAAAUGUCCUGAUCCUUUAUAAGCUGUGCACCCUCUAAAAAUGAUAACACAUACACUUGAACCAAAGCCCUUUUCGUUAUCACAUCCUUCACAAUCGAACAAUGGCUGAUGUGCUCUCACCUCCCUUUGAACAGGUGGAUUGACUGAUGACUCUGCACCGAUUAGAACAACAUGAAACAGAACCAGUGAGAUGGGUAGCAGAGAAGCCAGGGUCCAGAAUGGAAAAGUAGGAGAUUCCAUUGGAACGAACAAGGAGAAAGAGAUCGAUACCGUUGAAAAACCGAAAGGCAAGGCUUUAAAAUUUAGGCACAAAUGGUCUAAUUUUUGGGUUUGAUAUG
rnacentral:misc_RNA from 1 species